rnacentral:snoRNA from 1 species
UCCUCCCACAAAGGCGUGUCUUUGCUUCCCAUGUACAGACGCGUAAGAACUGGAGGUAGAGCACAAGGAUGAAGACCCAACGGUGAGCAAGCGCUCUAUUGCCUGAGUGCUCUAGCACAGUCUUGAGUCCAACACUU